CGAGCGGCAGCACGGGGAGCUUGCUCCCUGGUGGCGAGCGGCGGACGGGUGAGUAAUGCAUAGGAAUCUGCCCGGUAGUGGGGGAUAACGUGGGGAAACCCACGCUAAUACCGCAUACGUCCUACGGGAGAAAGCGGAGGAUCUUCGGACUUCGCGCUAUCGGAUGAGCCUAUGUCGGAUUAGCUAGUUGGUAGGGUAACGGCUUACCAGGGCAACGAUCCGUAGCUGGUCUGAGAGGAUGAUCAGCCACACUGGGACUGAGACACGGCCCACACUCCUACGGGAGGCAGGAGUGGGGAAUAUUGGACAAUG
rnacentral:rRNA from 1 species